GAAUGAGUUACGCUUUCUUCUCUCCACAUCUCUCUCUCUCGACGGAAGACGAUCUGGAUUCACGGUGGGAAGAAGCGACCGGAGAAGCUGUUGACGAAGUCAUCUUCCUUAGCCGUCACACCACUGUCUCGAACCGUCCUGCUAUGCCUGUUCACCCCAUCGGAGUGCUUCAUCUGAAAGAAGGAGAAUCGCCGUCGCAUGGAGGAAAGCCGGGAUGGGCGGCGUUACGAAUUGGUCUGUGUUCGUCUUUUGAAGAAGAUGGCUGAAGCUCAUUGCUUAGUUCCUGAGUUUGAGGUUUUGUUUCCUCGUUUGUUUGUUUUUUAUCUCUGGAGAUUGAAGUGUAAAGGAGAGUGCUUUCUUUUGUGUGUGUACAUAACAUUGGAAGGUACUCGUCAUGGACCAAUCACUACUAAGCCAAUGUUUUUGGAGAUUGAUAAUCUGAUUUGUCAAGAGGGGAAACCGCAAGCUGCUGUUGACCGUGCUAUAGAUAACAUAGCUUUCAGAGGUGGG